rnacentral:rRNA from 1 species
AUUGAACGCUGGCGGCAGGCCUAACACAUGCAAGUCGAACGAGUGGCGGACGGGUGAGUAAUGUCUGGGAAACUGCCCGAUGGAGGGGGAUAACUACUGGAAACGGUAGCUAAUACCGCAUACCAUCGGAUGUGCCCAGAGGGGAUUAGCUUUUAGGUGAGGUAACGGCUCACCUAGGCGAACAUCCCUAGCUGGUCUGAGAGGAUGACCAGCCAAACUGGAAUUGAGACACGGUCAAGAAUCCUACGGGAGGCAGAAGUGGGGAAUAUUGCACAAUGGUCGCAAGGCUGAUGCAGCCAUGCCGCGGGUAUGAAGAAGGCCUUCGGGUUGUAAAGUACUUUCAGCGGGGAGGCGUUACCCGCAGAAGAAGCACCGGCUAACUCCGUGCCAGCAGCCGCGGUAAUAC